CUACCAUGGCAAUCACGGGUAACGGAGAAUUAGGGUUCGAUUCCGGAGAGGGAGCCUGAGAAACGGCUACCACUUCUAAGGAAGGCAGCAGGCGCGUAAAUUACCCAAUCCUGACUCAGGGAGGUAGUGACAAGAAAUAGCGAUUCGGGACCUCUUGGUUUACGAUUUUGCAAUGAGAACAAUUUAAAGCACUUAACGAGGAACAAUUGGAGGGCAAGUCUGGUGCCAGCAGCCGCGGUAAUUCCAGCUCCAAUAGCGUAUAUUAAAGUUGUUGCAGUUAAAAAGCUCGUAGUUGAACUUCUGUUCGAUUGUCUCCACUUAUUGUGUGACGAUAAAUUGAACAUCCCCUUUGAAAACCUGGCACCGUCUUAAGUGACGGGUUAGGGUUUCUUGGAAUUUACUUUGAAAAAAUUAGAGUGUUUCAAGCAGGCGAUUCGCUGGAAUACAUUAGCAUGGAAUAAUAGAAGAUGACCUCUGAGAUCAUUUUGUUGGUACAUUGGCGGGAGGUAAUGAUUAACAGGGACAGUUGGGGGCAUUAGUAUUUAAUUGUCAGAGGUGAAAUUCAUUGAUUAAUUAAAGACUAACUUAUGCGAAAGCAUUUGCCAAGGAUGUUUUCAUUAAUCAA
rnacentral:rRNA from 1 species